UACAGAGGUGGCAAGCGUUGUUCGGAAUUACUGGGCGUAAAGCGCACGUAGGCGGCCUCAUAAGUCGGAUGUGAAAUCCCACGGCUUAACCGUGGAAGUGCAUCCGAAACUGCGAGGCUCGAGUAUGGAAGAGGGUCGCAGAAUUCCCGGUGUAGAGGUGAAAUUCGUAGAUAUCGGGGGGAAUACCAGUGGCGAAGGCGGCGACCUGGGCCAAUACUGACGCUGAGGUGCGAAAGCGUGGGGAGCAAACAGG
rnacentral:rRNA from 1 species